GUAAUUUGCCUUUUUUUUUCUCAUCAGAUGAAACCUUUUUACAGGGUCAUUUCUAAUUGUAAGACCUGUGCUUGUAGAAGAAAAUAAAUGCUUUGGAGCACAGCUGGGAUUUUGCUAAUAUCAAGAGUGUGAUGAAAAGGGUGGAAAAGCAGGGGAAAUGAUGGCCCUAUCACCACCUCUUCCAGUGAGGCUUGUACAAGAGACUGAUUAUAUGAGAAAGGGAAAAUUGUACUAGUCUAAACAUAGUCUUCUCAUUCAAGUUUUUAACAGACAGGUAACAAACUCUGUUUGAGCUGCCAAAGAAUUGCCAAGAUAUGACCUUUUAAAUUCUUCAGAUGAUGGGGAAAAAAGAUCAAUGUGAAAUGGAUGGAUUGAGACUGAAAAGCUGGAGAAAGAAGGGAAGCAUUGCCCACCCUGAAGGCUAAAAACAGUGAAGAAAUAGGCCUAAUUCAGCAGAGAGAAGAAGCUUAAUAGUUCUCUUUAAAAGAAUCAGCCUUUCUCUUCACAAAGACAUUUGAAUAUUAUCAGAACUGAAGUGUUCACUAUCAGAAGUGUUUACCGGUGUUGUAAAGAUCUAAUUGUGAGGGUUCUUCUGAAAGUAAAAAAGAAAAUUAUAUAGUGAUGCCAGAAUGAUGGGGAGAAGAGUGUGAAGUGUGUGUUCUCAGUCCAGAACAGUGCAUUCCAAAAUGGAGCAAUUAAAUGGAAUUUCUUUCAUCCUUUCAAGUGUAACAGAAACCAAUAAAAAUGAAAAUAUAAGUUAAUAAAGGCAAGAGCAUAACUAGCAAUUUUACCAAAUUAGGAAAAAAAAAUAAUAAUUCAAUGACAGAGCUAUGGAAUUAAAAGAAACUGGACCAUCAGCAUCUUUAAAAUUCAAGUGAGACAGUGCAUAAAUAAUAAUGAUAAGGAACAACUGAUAUUUGUAGGAAAAAAAAAUGACUGACACUGGAUUAAAGCUCACCUACUACAUGUAACUGACUUCUCACUGCAUGUAAAAAAAAUGAACUAAAAUUGUAUCUUAUAUAUAGUGUUGGUAAUAAGUCCUUAAAGCUGAAAGCUCAAAUACAUUUAGACAUGUAUUAGUUUUCUGUGGUUGAAGGUACCAGACAGAUUUACUUUAUUUAUCAGCCUUAUCUAGGAUCAUCUCCUUCCUCAAGUGGGAAGCAAUGAAAUGCAAGGAUAACACUGAUAGGUGAAAACAAGCUCAGGAUUUACAUGGAAGUCACUUUACACCGGAUAGAAAGUUGCUGUGUCUCUGAUCUAUGUAGUAACAAAGG